rnacentral:tRNA from 1 species
GCUCGGGUGGCGCAAUCGGCAGCGCAGGCGCAUCGUAAGCGCCGGGGUGCGGGUUCAAAUCCUGCCCCGAGCU